CAAUAGCGUAUAUUAAAGUUGUUGCAGUUAAAAAGCUCGUAGUUGGAUUUCUGGUUGAAGCGACCGGUCGGGCGUUGAUUCGUCUGCACUGGAGUCGGUUUUGGCCAUCCUCUAGGAAAGUGCGUCUGGUAUUAAGUUAUCGGGCGUAUGAUCCUGGUCUUUUACUGUGAAAAAAUUAGAGUGUUUAAAGCAGGCCUUCGCCUUGAAUACAUUAGCAUGGAAUAAUAAGAUAGGACCUUGGUCUAUUUUGUUGGUUUGCAGACCGAAGUAAUGAUUAAUAGGGAUAGUUGGGGGUAUUUAUAUUCCGAUGUCAGAGGUGAAAUUCUUAGAUUUUCGGAAGAUAAACUUAUGCGAAAGCAUUUACCAAGGAUGUUUNCAUUAA
rnacentral:rRNA from 1 species